rnacentral:tRNA from 1 species
UGUUUAGCUCAGUUGGUUAGAGCACUUGACUGUUAAUCAAGGUGUCGUAGGUUCGAGUCCUACAACG